GACGAACCGUGCGAACGUUGUUCGGAUUCACUGGGCUUAAAGGGCGCGUAGGCGGGUGAUCAAGUCAGGGGUGAAAUCCUCCAGCUUAACUGGAGAACAGCCUUUGAUACUGGUCAUCUGGAGGAAGGUAGGGGCAUGUGGAACUAAUGGUGGAGCGGUGAAAUGCGUAGAUAUCAAGAGGAACACCUGCGGCGAAGGCGGGUUGCUGGGCCGACACUGACGCUGAGGCGCGAAAGCCAGGGGAGCGAACGGG
rnacentral:rRNA from 1 species